UACGUAGGGGGCUAGCGUUGUCCGGAAUCAUUGGGCGUAAAGCGCGUGUAGGCGGUCCGGUAAGUCCGCUGUGAAAGUCGGGGGCUCAACCCUCGGAUGCCGGUGGAUACUGUCGGGCUUGAGUACGGAAGAGGCGAGUGGAAUUCCUGGUGUAGCGGUGAGAUGCGCAGAUAUCAGGAGGAACACCAAUUGCGAAGGCAGCUCGCUGGGACGUUACUGACGCUGAGACGCGAAAGCGUGGGGAGCAAACAGG
rnacentral:rRNA from 1 species